UACGUAGGGCGCAAGCGUUGUCCGGAAUUAUUGGGCGUAAAGAGCUCGUAGGCGGCUUGUCACGUCGAUUGUGAAAGCCCGAGGCUUAACCUCGGGUCUGCAGUCGAUACGGGCUAGCUAGAGUGUGGUAGGGGAGAUCGGAAUUCCUGGUGUAGCGGUGAAAUGCGCAGAUAUCAGGAGGAACACCGGUGGCGAAGGCGGAUCUCUGGGCCAUUACUGACGCUGAGUAGCGAAA
rnacentral:rRNA from 1 species